UCUAAUACCGGAUACGACCUGCCGAGGCAUCUCGGCGGGUGGAAAGCUCCGGCGGUGAAGGAUGAGCCCGCGGCCUAUCAGCUUGUUGGUGAGGUAACGGCUCACCAAGGCGACGACGGG
rnacentral:rRNA from 1 species